CUGAGAUUAAAAGUUAUUUAAUAAGUUGAUUGAAUUAUAAAAAAUUAGGACAGAGUGUCUGUUUGGAGUUUUUAUAUUUUUGGCGAUUAAUCUUAAGCCCAGAGGAUGGAACAUUUAGAUUUGUUUAUUUUUCUACUGUCGAAGAUAAAUUUCAAUGAUUAAUUCGGAACUGACCUACAAGUAAGUAUAUAAAUACAAGUCACUUGAGUUUGUCAGAACUGUUUGAGUAGAUAAUCAACGGACAAUGAGAGGAAUCAUAAAGAUCAGUCUUGGGGUUCUCAUCGUGGUCCGGAUAAUAAAUUCAGGCGGACAAGUGUUGGCGAAAAAGUCUAACAACGAUAAAUUUGAUUUGUCGGCGAUAGAAAGCCGGAAAAUAGCAGUAAAAAGUGAUCGACUUUGGAAUCAAGGAAUUAUUCCCUACAUAGUCAAGAAAGCUCUUGCUUGGAAACAUAGCUGGUUUGUUACACGCGCGAUUAAAUUCUUAAAAACUUGUGUUAAUUUUAUUAACUAUGAACAAGAUCAACAUCCAAAUUAUAUGCUUUUUACUAAAUCAGACAA